ACUGACCGAUAGUGAACCAGUACCGUGAGGGAAAGGUGAAAAGAACCCUGAACAAGGGAGUGAAAAAGAUCCUGAAACCGUGUGUUUACAAGCGGUCGAAGCCUUAGGGCGACGGCGUGCCUUUUGCAUAAUGAUCCUACGAGUUACUCCUCAUUGGCAAGGUUAAGUCUUUAAGGGACGAAUCCGAAGCGAAAGCGAGUCUGAAUAGGGCGUUUUAGUUAGUAGUGGUAGACGCGAAACCGUGUGAUCU
rnacentral:rRNA from 14 species